rnacentral:rRNA from 1 species
AACGCUGGCGGCGUGCGUAAUACAUGCAAGUCGAGCGGUCGACGGCUCUUCGGAGGCGUCGGCAGCGGCGGACGGGUGAGGAACACGUGAGUAACCGGGCGUCCGGUGGGGGAUAUCGGGCCGAAAGGCGCGGCAAUCCCGCAUGCGCCCCGGGCGGCGCCAGCCGCCGGGGGGAAAGGCCUUCGGGUCGCCGGACGGGGGGCUCGCGGCCCAUUAGCUAGUUGGGGUCGGAGCUGAGUCCGGCUAGUACAUGGGUAGCUCCCAUGCGCAUGUACGCUGAGGGUAUCGCACUGAUUAAACCGCCAGAUCCUACGAGCAGCAGUAGAUCUCCAAUGUGCAAGCUGAUGAGCACGCCGCUGAAGGAGACCGCUCCGGUGUAAAGCUCGUUCGUCGACGAGACGCGCUGUAGGCGCGGGGGGACGUACGCGAGAGCCCUGCAAACUACGUGCAGCAGCGCGGUAAGACGUAGGGGCAAGCGUGUCGGAAUUACUGGGCGUAAAGGGCGUGUAGGCGGUUGCGCACGUAGCGGUUUCAGCCGUCGGCUCACCCGACGGAGGGCGGCUAAACGGCGCAGCUCGAGGGCAGGAGAGGUGCAUGGAAUUCCUGGUGGAGCGGUGAAAUGCGUAGAGAUCAGGAAGAACACCGGUGGCGAAGGCGGUGCACUGGCCUGGCCCUGACGCUGAGGCGCGACAGCGUGGGGAGCGAACGGGAUUAGAUACCCCGGUAGUCCACGCCGUAAACGAUGGAUACGAGGUGUCGCGGGGGUCCACCUCGCGGUGCCGGAGCUAACGCACUCAGUAUCCCGCCUGGGGAGUACGGCCGCAAGGUUGAAACUCAAAGGAAUUGACGGGGGCCCGCACAAGCAGUGGAGCAUGUGGUUUAAUUCGACGCAACGCGCAGAACCUUACCAGGGCUAGACGGGACCGUGAGCCGCGCGAAAGCGCGGGGCUGCUUCGGCAGAGCGGUCGUCAGGUGCUGCAUGGUUGUCGUCAGCUCGUGUCGUGAGAUGUUGGGUUAAGUCCCGCAACGAGCGCAACCCUCGUCGGCUGUUGCCAGCGAUUCGGUCGGGCACUCAGCCGAGACAGCCGGGGACGACCCGGAGGAAGGUGGGGAUGACGUCAAAUCCGCAUGGCCUUCAUGUCCUGGGCUACACACGUGCUACAAUGGCGCCGACAACGGGCCGCGACCUCGCGAGGGGGAGCGAAUCCUUCAAACGGCGUCUCAGUUCGGAUUGCAGGCUGCAACUCGCCUGCAUGAAGCCGGAAUUGCUAGUAAUCGCGGAUCAGCAUGCCGCGGUGAAUCCGUUCCCGGGCCUUGUACACACCGCCCGUCACACCACGAGAGUCGGCCACACCCGAAGCCGGUCGGUCGAACCCCGUCAGGGGACGACCCCGUCGACGGUGGGGCGGAUGAUUGGGGUGAAGUCGUAACAAGGUAGCCGUAUCGGAAGGUGCGGUUGGA